rnacentral:rRNA from 1 species
CAGUCGCCGCGGUAAUACGUAGGUCCCGAGCGUUGUCCGGAUUUAUUGGGCAUAAAGCGAGCGCAGGCGGUUAGAUAAGUCUGAAGUUAUAGGCUGUGGCUUAACCAUAGUACGCUUUGGAAACUGUUUAACUUGAGUGCAAGAGGGGAGAGUGGAAUUCCAUGUGUAGCGGUGAAAUGCGUAGAGAUGUGGAGGAACACCAGUGGCGAAGGCGACUCUCUGGUCUGUAACUGACGUUGAGGAGCGAAAGCGUGGGGAGCGAACAGGAUUAGAUACCCCGGUAGUCCCUGUCUCUUAUACA